rnacentral:rRNA from 1 species
UACGUAGGGUGCAAGCGUUAAUCGGAAUUACUGGGCGUAAAGCGCGCGUAGGUGGUUCGUUAAGUUGGAUGUGAAAUCCCCGGGCUCAACCUGGGAACUGCAUUCAAAACUGACGAGCUAGAGUAUGGUAGAGGGUGGUGGAAUUUCCUGUGUAGCGGUGAAAUGCGUAGAUAUAGGAAGGAACACCAGUGGCGAAGGCGGGUCCCUGGACAACACCUGACACUGAGGCACGAAAGCUAGGGGAGCAAACAGG